rnacentral:misc_RNA from 1 species
UAACCAAGAUCAUACAAGG